GGAGAGAUGCCAGAGUGGUCGAAUGGGGCGGUCUCGAAAACCGUUGUGCCCUAUGGGCACCCAGGGUUCGAAUCCCUGUCUCUCCG
rnacentral:tRNA from 1 species